rnacentral:rRNA from 1 species
UACGGAGGGGACUAGCGUUGUUCGGAAUUACUGGGCGUAAAGCGCACGUAGGCGGAUUUGUAAGUCAGGGGUGAAAUCCCGGAGCUCAACCUCGGAACUGCCUUUGAUACUGCAAAUCUCGAGUCCGGAAGAGGUGAGUGGAAUUCCUAGUGUAGAGGUGAAAUUCGUAGAUAUUAGGAAGAACACCAGUGGCGAAGGCGGCUCACUGGUCCGGUACUGACGCUGAGUGCGAAAGCG